CUUCUCAGAACAUCCACAUAAACCCUGAAAUUGUUCAGUAUUCUCUCAAACAGCCGUUUGAGUCACCUCAAAUGUAGCAGUGGGCCAGAUUGAAACGGUCCGAUGCACUUCACUUGCAAUGCAGAUCAUCAUUUCUGGACAGCUUUCUACUUACUGCUGUGGACAUGAAAGGAUCGUCCUAGGCUUGCCCAUGCUGAUGGGCUGCACCACAGCAGUACUGGAGCUGAAUUCCUGUUAGAAAACAUCUUCAGGAUGCUUUGACCAGGACACCUCCAAUGUGAAGCAGUGGACAGCUGAAGAUGUUGCUGGCUGUUAUUGCUAGA